GGUGGCAUCAGCCCUGGUACAGAAAAUGUACAUGUAUGGUAUGGUCAGAAAAAUUAUCACUGACCAAGGCAGGGAGUUUGUGAAUGAGCUAAAUGACAGCAUAUUCCAGAUGCUCAACAUAAAGCACUCAGUGACCAGUGCAUAUCAUCCCCAAUCAAAUGGCCAGGACGAAAGAACCAAUCAAAAUGUAAAGCGAGCAUUAAGAAAAUAUGUAAAUGAAGCGCAUGAUGAUUGGGACCUGCA